GGCCGCUUAGCUCAGCUGGUUAGAGCAUCGUACUAAUAAUCUGACGAUUAUCAGUCAUGCGGAGGUCGGCAGUUCGAUCCUGUCAGUGGUCA
rnacentral:tRNA from 2 species